UGUGGGGUGCUCGAGUGGCGAACGGGUGAGUAACACGUGAGUAACCUGCCCUUGACUUUGGGAUAACUUCAGGAAACUGGGGCUAAUACCGGAUAGGAGCUCCUGCUGCAUGGUGGGGGUUGGAAAGUUUCGGCGGUUGGGGAUGGACUCGCGGCUUAUCAGCUUGUUGGUGGGGUAGUGGCUUACCAAGGCUUUGACGGGUAGCCGGCCUGAGAGGGUGACCGGCCACAUUGGGACUGAGAUACGGCCCAGACUCCUACGGGAGGCAGCAGUGGGGAAUAUUGCACAAUGGGCGGAAGCCUGAUGCAGCAACGCCGCGUGCGGGAUGACGGCCUUCGGGUUGUAAACCGCUUUCGCCUGUGACGAAGCGUGAGUGACGGUAAUGGGUAAAGAAGCACCGGCUAACUACGUGCCAGCAGCCGCGGUGAUACGUAGGGUGCGAGCGUUGUCCGGAUUUAUUGGGCGUAAAGGGCUCGUAGGUGGUUGAUCGCGUCGGAAGUGUAAUCUUGGGGCUUAACCNNGAGCGUGCUUUCGAUACGGGUUGACUUGAGGAAGGUAGGGGAGAAUGGAAUUCCUGGUGGAGCGGUGGAAUGCGCAGAUAUCAGGAGGAACACCAGUGGCGAAGGCGGUUCUCUGGGCCUUUCCUGACGCUGAGGAGCGAAAGCGUGGGGAGCGAACAGGCUUAGAUACCCUGGUAGUCCACGCUGUAAACGGUGGGUACUAGGUGUGGGGUCCAUUCCACGGGUUCCGUGCCGUAGCUAACGCUUUAAGUACCCCGCCUGGGGAGUACGGCCGCAAGGCUAAAACUCAAAGGAAUUGACGGGGCCCCGCACAAGCGGCGGAGCAUGCGGAUUAAUUCGAUGCAACGCGUAGAACCUUACCUGGGUUUGACAUGGAUCGGGAGUGCUCAGAGAUGGGUGUGCCUCUUUUGGGGUCGGUUCACAGGUGGUGCAUGGCUGUCGUCAGCUCGUGUCGUGAGAUGUUGGGUUAAGUCCCGCAACGAGCGCAACCCUUGUUCACUGUUGCCAGCACGUUAUGGUGGGGACUCAGUGGAGACCGCCGGGGUCAACUCGGAGGAAGGUGGGGAUGACGUCAAGUCAUCAUGCCCCUUAUGUCCAGGGCUUCACGCAUGCUACAAUGGCUGGUACAGAGAGUGGCGAGCCUGUGAGGGUGAGCGAAUCUCGGAAAGCCGGU
rnacentral:rRNA from 1 species